CCUGGUUGAUCCUGCCAGUAGUCAUAUGCUUGUCUCAAAGAUUAAGCCAUGCAUGUCUAAGUACACACUUUGGUAAAGUGAAACCGCGAAUGGCUCAUUAAAUCAGCUACAAUUUAUUAGAUCGUACACUGUUACUUGGAUAACUGUGGGAAUUCUAGAGCUAAUACAUGCCGAGAGUCUCUGCUCUUCGGGGCAGAGCGCAGUUAUUAGACCAAAACCAGCCGUAUUCUUCGGGGUACGCUCUUUUGGUGACUCUGGAUAACCUUCAGCCGAUCGCAUGGCCUCGUGCCGGCGACGUAUCUUUCAAGUGUCUGCCCUAUCAACUUUCGAUGGUACGUGAUAUGCCUACCAUGGUGAUAACGGGUAACGGGGAAUCAGGGUUCGAUUCCGGAGAGGGAGCCUGAGAAAUGGCUACCACAUCCAAGGAUGGCAGCAGGCGCGCAAAUUACCCACUCCCAGCUUGGGGAGGUAGUGACGAAAAAUAACAAUGCGGGACUCUAAGAGGCCCCGUAAUUGGAAUGAGUACACCUUAAAUCGUUUAACGAGUAUCAAUUGGAGGGCAAGUCUGGUGCCAGCAGCCGCGGUAAUUCCAGCUCCAAUAGCGUAUAUUAAAGUUGCUGCAGUUAAAAAGCUCGUAGUUGGAUCUGGGGCUUGAGGUCGCUGUCUAUCGUUUCGGCGAUGACGGUGAUGCUCAGCUCUGCUUGCCGGUGACUGUUGCGGUGUUCUUCACUGAGCGCUGUAGCAGCACGGCACGUUUACUUUGAAAAAAUUAGAGUGCUCAAAGCGUGCUUGUCGCUUGAAUAAUGUUGCAUGGAAUAAUGGAAUAGGACCUCGGUUCUAUUUUGUUGGUUUUCGGAGCUUGAGGUAAUGAUUAAGAGGGACGAACGGGGGCAUUCGUAUUGCGGUGUUAGAGGUGAAAUUCUUGGAUCGCCGCAAGACGGACUACUGCGAAAGCAUUUGCCAAGAACGCUUUCAUUAAUUAAGAACGAAAGUCAGAGGUUCGAAGACGAUCAGACACCGUCCUAGUUCUGACCAUAAACGAUGCCGACCAGCGAUCCGUAGUGGUUGCUUUAUGGACCCUACGGGCAGCCUCCGGGAAACCAAAGUAUUUGGGUUCCGGGGGAAGUAUGGUUGCAAAGCUGAAACUUAAAGGAAUUGACGGAAGGGCCCACCAGGAGUGGAGCCUGCGGCUUAAUUUGACCCAACACGGGAAAACUCACCCGGUCCGGACACCGUAAGGAUUGACAGACUGAUAACUCUUUCUUGAUUCGGUGGAUGGUGGUGCAUGGCCGUUCUUAGUUGGUGGAGUGAUUUGUCUGGUUAAUUCCGAUAACGAACGAGACUCUAGCCUGCUAAGUAGUGUUGCUAUU
rnacentral:rRNA from 1 species